rnacentral:rRNA from 1 species
UACAGAGGUGGCAAGCGUUGUUCGGAAUUACUGGGCGUAAAGGGCGCGUAGGUGGCCUUGUUAGUCAGACGUGAAAUCCCCAAGCUUAACUUGGGAACUGCGUCUGAUACUGCAAGGCUUGAGUUCGGGAGAGGGAUGUGGAAUUCCAGGUGUAGCGGUGAAAUGCGUAGAUAUCUGGAGGAACACCGGUGGCGAAGGCGGCAUCCUGGACCGAAACUGACACUGAGGCGCGAAAGCUAGGGGAGCAAAC